AUCGCUUCUCGGCUUAAUGGCUAAGAUCAAGUGUAGUAUCUGUUUUUAUCAGUUUAAUAUCUGAUACGUCCCCGAUCAGGGGACCAUAUAUUAAAUUGAUUUUUGGAAUCUGGAGAUGGAAGAGGGGCUUGCUCCGUCCACUCAACGCAUCGGCCCGGUAUUGCAGUGCCUCCGGGAACGGUGCACACCUU